GCAAGUCGAGGGGCAGCAUGGUCUUAGCUUGCUAAGGCUGAUGGCGACCGGCGCACGGGUGAGUAACACGUAUCCAACCUGCCGUCUACUCUUGGCCAGCCUUCUGAAAGGAAGAUUAAUCCAGGAUGGCAUCAUGAGUUCACAUGUCCGCAUGAUUAAAGGUAUUUUCCGGUAGACGAUGGGGAUGCGUUCCAUUAGAUAGUAGGCGGGGUAACGGCCCACCUAGUCAACGAUGGAUAGGGGUUCUGAGAGGAAGGUCCCCCACAUUGGAACUGAGACACGGUCCAAACUCCUACGGGAGGCAGCAGUGAGGAAUAUUGGUCAAUGGGCGAUGGCCUGAACCAGCCAAGUAGCGUGAAGGAUGGCUGCCCUAUGGGUUGUAAACUUCUUUUAUAAAGGAAUAAAGUCGGGUAUGCAUACCCGUUUGCAUGUACUUUAUGAAUAAGGAUCGGCUAACUCCGUGCCAGCAGCCGCGGUAAUACGGAGGAUCCGAGCGUUAUCCGGAUUUAUUGGGUUUAAAGGGAGCGUAGAUGGAUGUUUAAGUCAGUUGUGAAAGUUUGCGGCUCAACCGUAAAAUUGCAGUUGAUACUGGAUGUCUUGAGUGCAGUUGAGGCAGGCGGAAUUCGUGGUGUAGCGGUGAAAUGCUUAGAUAUCACGAAGAACUCCGAUUGCGAAGGCAGCCUGCUAAGCUGCAACUGACAUUGAGGCUCGAAAGUGUGGGUAUCAAACAGG
rnacentral:rRNA from 1 species